GGUUGUUUGUAUAGGAUUGCACUUUUCCAGUGCAGUGAAACCUAGCAGAGGGCCAGUCUGGUGCCAGCAGCUGCGGUAAUUCCAGCUCUGCGAGUUUGCUCCCAUAUUGUUGCAGUUAAAACGCUCGUAGUCAGAACUGCCUGCAAAGGCGUACGAACAUCUGUUCGUUCACUGUGAACAAAUCAGGACGCUUAGUGUAUGGUUUUAGGAAUGACUUAGCGCAGUAUGAUAUCUUUACCUUUGGUAAGAUCAAUGAGAGCCACCGGGGGUAGAUCUAUUUCAUGGCGAACGGUGGAAUGUUUUGACCCAUGAGAGAGAAACGAAGGCGAAAGCAUCUACCUAGAGGGUUUCUGUCGAUCAAGGGCGAGAGUAGGAGUAUCCAACCGGAUCAGAGACCCGGGUAGUUCCUACCUUAAACGAUGCCGACAGGGGCUUGUCCUUUUAUGAGGGCA
rnacentral:rRNA from 1 species